rnacentral:rRNA from 1 species
UACGUAGGGUGCAAGCGUUAAUCGGAAUUACUGGGCGUAAAGCGUGCGCAGGCGGUUAUGUAAGACAGAUGUGAAAUGCCCGGGCUUAACCUGGGAACUGCAUUUGUGACUGCAUGGCUAGAGUUUGGCAGAGGGGGGUAGAAUUCCACGUGUAGCAGUGAAAUGCGUAGAUAUGUGGAGGAACACCGAUGGCGAAGGCAGCCCCCUGGGUCAACACUGACGCUCAGGCACGAAAGCGUGGGGAGC